CCUAUCACAUUGUUUCUCUCUCUCUCUCGUAACAUCCAAUUUCCAAUUUCACAUCAGCCAAACUACUCAAAAUCUUAAAUCCAUUGCGCUUCUAUUGCCGUCGCUGCACAAUUGUUAUUGCCGACCCGCUGCUGCGCCGUCGUCAUCGCCAAGCCGCUGCUGCACCGCCGGCAUCCUAUUUGCUGCUUUCAGUCGCCGCUGCGCCUUGUGCCCAUAACCUAGGCAUCAAUUUUGCUCGUCGUGCAGCGCUGCCACCAGUGUUCUUGCCCCAAUCGAAGAAGCCUAGGGGACACUCUUUGUUGAUUUUGAUUUGCGAAUUUGCGAACUGAUUGGUUAUCUCUAUCGUGGCCAAGGAGAUUUUCCUGAUAUGUGCUUUUGGGAAUCCUAAAGCUUUGAAUCGUGUGGAAGGUCUGAGCAAAUUGGAGAAGUUUCAAGUUCUGGUACUUAAGGCAAACUCAUGUUGUCUUGAAGCAGGGAAGUGAGAGGCUCUCAUUUAGGGGGACCUGGGACUGGUUUCAGCUGAAAUGAUUCCCCUAUAAAAUUUUUGGUAAAUUGGCUUCGUUGAGUGUUCUACCAUUUGGUUAGAGAUGUCAAUCGGGCCAGCCCACCGGGUUUCGGGUAACUGCACUUCCUAAGCUUUUAUAUAGUUACUACACUGGAUAAGCUCUUUUCUGGCAAGAAGGUGGUUAGUAUUGAUUCAAGUCCAAGUCCAAGUCCAAGUGCAGCAUCAUGUUAUUGUAGAUUUGAUGUCUUUGAAAUGGAAAAGUAAUCAAAUUACGAAGGUGACGGAAAUGACGUUGUCGGCCAAUCUAGAAAGGAAGAAGAUGGAGAAUAGUAUACUAGAGUGGAAGGUAGAAGAAGAUGAAGUGGUGAGAUGAGGAGUUGAAGUGAAGCUUGUGGUGGAACUUGCUCUCAUGGAGAUUCGAACUUUCAUUAUCGACUUGGACAUGAAUGAUAGGACUUUUCAUUUGUAUCGAGUUUUCAUUUGGAUUGUUUAGUUAUUAAAAUGUUGAUGAUACUAUUUAUUGAAAUAUCAAAAGAAUAUGAUAUGAUUGUAUUUGUACA